CAGCAGCCGCGGUAAUACGUAGGGUGCAAGCGUUAAUCGGAAUUACUGGGCGUAAAGCGUGCGCAGGCGGUUUGUUAAGACAGAUGUGAAAUCCCCGGGCUCAACCUGGGAACUGCAUUUGUGACUGGCAAGCUAGAGUGCGGCAGAGGGGGGUGGAAUUCCGCGUGUAGCAGUGAAAUGCGUAGAUAUGCGGAGGAACACCGAUGGCGAAGGCAGCCCCCUGGGCCAACACUGACGCUCAUGCACGAAAGCGUGGGGAGCAAACAGGAUUAGAGACCCCUGUAGUCCCUGUCUCUUAUAC
rnacentral:rRNA from 1 species